rnacentral:misc_RNA from 1 species
GAGUUGUAUAUUUCCGGCAACAGGGUUUCUUUAUUGCAAAACUGCUAUUUUUUUUUCUUUAACAUAUUUUUCUUCUUUUUGGUGGGAUUAAUGUAAUCAAAUAUUUAAUAUAGUUGUCAGAAUACUUACAGGGAAAUGGCUAUAGCUUUUAUUGGCCAUAUUUUAGGAUUUAAAAAAAUAAUAAUAAAGUGAAUAAAGGAAAAUACAAGUUUUGUC